AGUAAAGUGGCGUACGGGUGAGUAACACGUGGAUAAUCCACCUCUUAGUGGGGAAUAACUUUGGGAAACCGAAGCUAAUACCGCAUAAGCCUGGAGAGGGAAAGCGAGAAAUUGCGCUGAGAGAGGAGUCCGCGGCCGAUUAGCUAGUUGGUAGGGUAAAGGCCUACCAAGGCGAUGAUCGGUAGCCGGCCUGAGAGGGCACACGGCCACACUGGCACUGAAACACGGGCCAG
rnacentral:rRNA from 1 species